rnacentral:rRNA from 1 species
UACAGAGGUCUCAAGCGUUGUUCGGAUUCAUUGGGCGUAAAGGGUGCGUAGGUGGCGUCGGAAGUCGGGUGUGAAAUUUCGGAGCUUAACUCCGAAACUGCAUUCGAUACUGCGGUGCUUGAGGACUGGAGAGGAGACUGGAAUUUACGGUGUAGCAGUGAAAUGCGUAGAGAUCAUGAGGAAGACCAGUGGCGAAGGCGGGUCUCUGGACAGUUCCUGACACUGAGACACGAAGGCCAGGGGAGCAAACGGG